rnacentral:rRNA from 1 species
UACGUAGGUGGCAAGCGUUGUCCGGAUUUACUGGGCGUAAAGCGAACGCAGGCGGAUUGUUAAGUAGGAAGUGAAAGGUUGGAGCUCAACUCCGACACUGCUCCCUAUACUGGCAGUCUUGAGUACUGGAGAGGAAAGCGGAACGACACGUGUAGCGGUGAAAUGCGUUGAUAUGUGUCGGAACACCAAUGGCGAAAGCAGCUUUCUGGACAGAGACUGACGCUGAGGUUCGAAAGCCAAGGUAGCAAAC